UACAGAGGUCUCAAGCGUUGUUCGAUUCAUUGGGCGUAAAGGGUGCGUAGGUGGCGCCGUAAGUCGGAUGUGAAAGCCCUCGGCUCAACCGAGGAAGUGCAUACGAAACUGGCGAGCUUGAAUAUGGAAGAGGGUCGCGGAAUUCCCGGUGUAGAGGUGAAAUUCGUAGAUAUCGGGAGGAACACCAGUGGCGAAGGCGGCGACCUGGGCCAAUAUUGACGCUGAGGUGCGAAAGCGUGGGGAGCAAACAGG
rnacentral:rRNA from 1 species